UACGGAGGGUGCAAGCGUUAUCCGGAUUCACUGGGCUUAAAGGGUGCGUAGGCGGGCAGGUAAGUCAGUGGUGAAAUCCCCGAGCUUAACUUGGGAACUGCCGUUGAUACUAUCUGUCUUGAAUGUUGUGGAGGUGAGCGGAAUAUGUCAUGUAGCGGUGAAAUGCUUAGAUAUGACAUAGAACACCAGUUGCGAAGGCAGCUCGCUGGACAAUUAUUGACGCUGAGGCACGAAAGCGUGGGGAGCAAACAGG
rnacentral:rRNA from 1 species